GACGAACGCUGGCGGCGUGCGUAAUACAUGCAAGUAGAACGCUGAGGUUUGGUGUUUACACUAGACUGAUGAGUUGCGAACGGGUGAGUAACGCGUAGGUAACCUGCCUCAUAGCGGGGGAUAACUAUUGGAAACGAUAGCUAAUACCGCAUAAGAGUAAUUAACACAUGUUAGUUAUUUAAAAGGAGCAAUUGCUUCACUGUGAGAUGGACCUGCGUUGUAUUAGCUAGUUGGUGAGGUAAAGGCUCACCAAGGCGACGAUACAUAGCCGACCUGAGAGGGUGAUCGGCCACACUGGGACUGAGACACGGCCCAGACUCCUACGGGAGGCAGCAGUAGGGAAUCUUCGGCAAUGGACGGAAGUCUGACCGAGCAACGCCGCGUGAGUGAAGAAGGUUUUCGGAUCGUAAAGCUCUGUUGUUAGAGAAGAACGUUGGUAGGAGUGGAAAAUCUACCAAGUGACGGUAACUAACCAGAAAGGGACGGCUAACUACGUGCCAGCAGCCGCGGUAAUACGUAGGUCCCGAGCGUUGUCCGGAUUUAUUGGGCGUAAAGCGAGCGCAGGCAGUUCUUUAAGUCUGAAGUUAAAGGCAGUGGCUUAACCAUUGUACGCUUUGGAAACUGGAGGACUUGAGUGCAGAAGGGGAGAGUGGAAUUCCAUGUGUAGCGGUGAAAUGCGUAGAUAUAUGGAGGAACACCGGUGGCGAAAGCGGCUCUCUGGUCUGUAACUGACGCUGAGGCUCGAAAGCGUGGGGAGCAAACAGG
rnacentral:rRNA from 1 species